rnacentral:rRNA from 1 species
GACGUAGGGGGCCAGCGUUGUUCGGAAUUACUGGGUGUAAAGGGUUCGUAGGCGGUGUGGCAAGUCGGGUGUGAAAUUUCUGGGCUCAACUCAGAGACUGCUUCCGAAACUGCUGUGCUGGAGUGUGGGAGAGGCGCGUGGAAUUGCAGGUGUAGCGGUGAAAUGCGUAGAUAUCUGCAGGAACACCCGUGGCGAAAGCGGCGCGCUGGACCACUACUGACGCUGAGGAACGAAAGCUAGGGGAGCAAACGGG